UAAGGAUGUGUUAGGUGUGAAAACAGGACAAACGGAAUCAAGAUCAAGGAAAAAGUAGAAUGGAUCAAUGUUAGCUGGGAAUAAGUAACAACAAAACAAACUGAGAUGUCGGAGACAAUAGGACUGGUCGGAGAACAGUGAAGGGGAGGGAUGGAGAGGGAGGGAAAGCAAGGGUUAUUUGAAGUUAGAAUAGACAAUUUCCUUC